GGUAUGAUGUUGACUUAGUGAUGCUUAUGGCAUAUUCUGGUGAUGCUGUCUUGUUGUGCUAUCUACAAAGAUAGUAUUAUUCAAAUAUGACUAUAUAAGAAUGAAGGGUAUGACUUAACUAAAAUACUAUAAUUUGUUGUACUAUCCACAAGGCUAUAAGUACUUUAGAGGUAAAUGUUAUGUUAGGAGUUAUAUGAGAUGUAAUUGGUAAAGAGU
rnacentral:lncRNA from 1 species